rnacentral:rRNA from 1 species
AACCAUACCGUGAGGGCUACUUGAAAAGAACUUUAACGACAGAGUUCAAGAGUACGUGAAACCGCUUCAGGGGUAAACCUGUUGAAACCCAAAAGAUCGAAUGAGGAGAUUCAUCGUCAGCGUAUUCAGUAUUAAUGCAGGCUAUGAUGUGAUAAUAGAAUCCUCGUGGUCACUAGAUUAUACUUGCUUGUAUUAUUUUUGCUGGGUAUGUCGGCGUGCACUUCUCCUCUAGUAGAACGUCGCAACCCGUUGGAUGUUUAUCUAUGGCCUGAUUGGUAGCCUUUGAUAUUUUAUUAUAUCGAAGACCUUUUGGUGUCCUGGUAAACUGUCUGACGGUAUACACAUAGUAUUGAGCCGCAAUUAUUUGCGUUAGACUUGCCGCAAGUAAGACUUUAUUCUGGUAGUGCGGAUUUAAUGCCGUCGCUGGACAAAGUCUGCUGUUAGCUGUGUAAUGUCUUUAACUGGCUUAUUUACUGGUUAGCGAUGCUACUGCUUUGGGUACUUACAGGACCCGUCUUGAAACACGGACCAAGGAGUCUAACAUGUGCGCGAGUCAUUGGGAUAUAUUUAUAUAACUCAAACCUAAAGGCGUAAUGAAAGUAUAGAUUGUCUUAACGACAAUUGAGGGAAGAUGGGUUACGUUACGAUGUAAUCCCGCAUUCCCAGACGGUUCUAUUCUCAUUGCAGGAAACG